UAAAAAGAAAAGCAGGCAACAGGGGCUUCCCCACACCAUCCUCUCCCAACAAGAGCCCCCUUCUUAAAUUGCGCACUCCUUCUUUAUCCCAUUCUUUCCUGUUGGGGAGCCUAGGGUUAGGGUUUCUGAGAGAUGUGGGAUGUUCCAUGCAUUCGUGAGCCUUAGCGCACGCGGUUGGAAGCUGUUCGGGCACGGUGAUGACGCCGGUAAUGCCGCCGCCGCCACAGGAAGAGAAUGCAAGGACGGCCUCCUCUGGUUCCGCGACAUCGAAAAGUUCGCUGCCGGCGAUUUCUCCAUGGCCGUCGUCCAGGCCAACCAGGUCCUCGAGGACCAGAGCCAGAUCGAGUCCGGCGGCUUCAGCACCUUCAUCGGCGUCUACGACGACCACAGCGGCCCCGAUUGUUCCCGCUAUGUCUGUGAUAACUUGUUCCGCAAUCUCGAAGGCGUGUGCAGAGAAUAUACAAGAGUCCGGAUCCUUUAGAGGAGCAGCGUCGGAAGGAGUUGCAGCAGGGUGAAACGGGGACUGAUGGGAUUUUUGGCUAAGAAUGGUGCUUACAACACUCCGCUGAAUGGUUCAGUGUAUGAGGUGAGGGUAUGCACUGAAUGGAAGUUGGAAGCAUUGUUUGUUAGACGAUCACUCGUGCUGUUUUUUAGCAGGAACUUGUUGGUUUGACAUAGAUGUAUUCUUUUACCUCCUGGGAACCAGAUUAUUUCAGGUUAACAUUCUUGAUGCUUGAUCAUUAUAUAGAAAUGCAUCUGGGACAUGACUUGCUUAUCAAGGUGUGGCAUUAUUGGCUUCUAAAAUUAGGAAUUGUCAGUGUCAGCUGAAACUUUGUAACAUAUCCAUUGGCAUAUUGUAUAAACAAAUUUAUCUGGUUGAGUAUUAAAGCACUAUGGAUUUUCUAGCAGCUAUCUCUUCUUUCUUUUUUAAUAUUCACAUUGUGUUUGCAAGAGGCGGUUGGUGUGAAGUGGAAGAGGACCUUCUGUGCAUCAUACCAAAGAAAUUGAGUGACAUUAUGCAUUGAAAGUAUCAAGUAACAAAGCAAGCAAGUUGAGGAGGUUACCAGUAUAUCCUAAAGUAUAGAACUUCAAUUAGUUGUUCCUUCAGUCUCUCUAGAGUAAAUUUGAGGCUUUUCCUCGGCUAAAAUCUAUGUUCACUUUAUACAAGUUACCACUAAAUACUAUGUUUCCUCUACUCAAUUUGCACCCUGCUCCAAAUGACUAUGAGUUUGCUGACGCACUGACGUUGUAGCAGUUUCAAAUGAUGAAUUUUGUCACCAGAAAAUUGGCCUGUUGUCUAAUAUUGUGGCAAUUAUUCCUUUGCUAGUUUUAAAAUAUGACCAUGAGGUGUUUUGCUGUUGAAUCAGGAGGCCAUAACUAGAUCUUUUUUGGUUCAAUGGAGGCUUUUAGUGCCGCUCAAAUUGAUAGAGCUGGUCUGUGAUGAAACUUAAAUCCUAAUUGGGAAUUAAAUGUUGGUUGUUUUGAUGGUUGCCCAUGAUUUCUUUCUUAAUAUUCCAAUAAUAUCCUUUUACCCGUUAAAGGAGUCAAGUAGUCAACUAUUUCAGCUGCCCCCCGGUUACACCCUUUUAGACCGUGAUAGAACAUCUUUUACUUUUGGAACAUUGACAUCAUGGGUGAGGGGGGUUUGUUAAAUUUAAGAUGGGAUUCACUUGUUUUUCUUUAAUGAUUUCUACAAUAGUUGAUGCAUUUAUGUAAAAGCUCAUAAUAUAAUUGAUAAUUCUAUUAAUUGGUACAGCUGCGAGAUGGGGUUGCUAAGAGAUGUAAAGCAUCCACUUCUCAUUCAGCAUCAAUUUACUGGAUGGGCGAUAACGCAGAGAGACAAAUUUUUUGAACAAGUAUGGGGCUGAACUACUAGAAUCCUGUGUUGAACCCGUGGUGAUUCACCACCCCAAAGGACACACAAUACCAAGAUUAGAGCUUGAAGACCAUGAUGGAUUUCAUCGAAAGAAUUAAGAAAGAUGUCUCAAAAUAAGAAACGAGUUUAGACAACCAGCCAGUGCUUCAAAGGGAUUUUUGAAAUAUUUAUUCAUUUUAACAUAAAUUAAUAGCAUUGCUAUUUGUACUCUUAUACAAAUUUGUUACUGUUAGAUCCUCAAUGUAAUCAAUUAUAUAAGAGUCAUAUUUGAAUAUAUAAGCAGAGGCUUUGUGCCAAAUUUGUGACAGCAUUCA